rnacentral:rRNA from 1 species
GACGAACGCUGGCGGCGUGCCUAAUACAUGCAAGUUGAGCGAUGAAGAUUGGUGCUUGCACCAAUUUGAAGAGCAGCGCACGGGUGAGUAACGCGUGGGGAAUCUGCCUUUGAGCGGGGGACAACAUUUGGAAACGAAUGCUAAUACCGCAUAACAACUUUAAACAUAAGUUUUAAGUUUGAAAGAUGCAAUUGCAUCACUCAAAGAUGAUCCCGCGUUGUAUUAGCUAGUUGGUGAGGUAAAGGCUCACCAAGGCGAUGAUACAUAGCCGACCUGAGAGGGUGAUCGGCCACAGUGGGACUGAGACACGGCCCAAACUCCUACGGGAGGCAGCAGUAGGGAAUCUUCGGCAAUGGACGAAAGUCUGACCGAGCAACGCCGCGUGAGUGAAGAAGGUUUUCGGAUCGUAAAACUCUGUUGGUAGAGAAGAACGUUGGUGAGAGUGGAAAGCUCAUCAAGUGACGGUAACUACCCAGAAAGGGACGGCUAACUACGUG